rnacentral:rRNA from 1 species
GACGAAAGCUGGCGGCGUGCUUAACACAUGCAAGUCGAACGAAGUGGCGAACGGGUGAGUAACGCGUAAUCAAACUGCCCUUCAGAGGGGGACAACAGUUGGAAACGACUGCUAAUACCGCAUACUGAAUGAGGGGAUUUCUUCUGAUCAGCUAGUUGGCGGGGUAACGGCCCCCCAAGGCGAUGAUCAGGAGCCGGGAUUAGAGGAUGAACGGCCAAAUUGGGCCGGAGACACGGCACAGACUACUACGGGCGGCAGCAGUGGGGAAUCUUCCGCAAUGGACGAAAGUCUGACGGAGCAACGCCGCGGGAGUGAUGACGGCCUUCGGGUUGUAAAGCUCUGUUAAUCGGGACGCGGGACCGGAAUAGAAAGCCACGGCUAACUACGUGCCAGCAGCCGCGGUAAUUC